GUGCUUAUUUCAGCAGCACAUAUACUAAAAUUGAAAUGAUAUAGAGAAGAUUAGCAUGGCUCUGUGCAAGGAUGACAUGCAAAUUCAUGACGCAUUCCAUAUUUAA